rnacentral:lncRNA from 1 species
CCCCGGGAGCCCCACGGCCGCCGCCGCAGGGGACCAGCCGACGCUACGGCGGGAGUCAGCGGCCGGCCACGGCCCUUCUUUCCCUGGAUCCGCAGCCGCAAGUCCUCACCUCCCUGGCUCACCUCCGUGCUGCUGCGACGGCCACAGCCUCCGGACGCGGCUCCGCGGCGGCCCGCACGCCCUCCGCGCUCAGCCCUCGCACACCACGUUCCUGCUCUCCACACUGCGCACGCUCACCCCCACACUCACGCACCGCACAACACACGCCUCACCCUCACACUGACUUACCUGCACGCGUCCGCUGCACGCACUCACCCCCCUGCACUCCCUACACGCACCACCCUGUGGGAACACACUCUCACACCACACACACUCACCCCUGUGCACUCCCUCACACAACCACACCCUCCUCACACACGCACUCGCGUGGGAACACACUCACACAUCCACACACACCGCGUGCACUCCCUCACACACACCACCCACACCCUCCUCACACACGCAAUCGUGUGGGAACACACAAUCACACAUCCACACACACUCCCCUGUGCACUCCCUCACACACACCACCCACACCCUCCUCACACACGCACUCCUGCUGUAACACACUCUCACACAUCCACACACACUCCCCCUGUGCACUCCCUCACACACACCACCCACACCCUCCUCACACACGCACUCGCGUGGGAACACACAAUCACACAUCCACACACACUCCCCCUGUGCACUCCCUCACACACACCACCCACACCCUCCUCACACACGCAAUCGUGUGGGAACACACUCUCACACAUCCACACACACCGCGUGCAUUCCCUCACACACACCACCCACACCCUCCUCACACACGCAAUCGUGUGGGAACACACUCUCACACAUCCACACACACCGCGUGCAUUCCCUCACACACGCCACCCACACCCUCCUCACACACGCACUCGCGUGGGAACACACUCACACAUCCACACACACCGCGUGCACUCCCUCACACACACCACGCCACACCCUCCUCACACACGCAAUCGUGUGGGAACACACUCUCACACAUCCACACACACCGCGUGCAUUCCCUCACACACACCACCCACACCCUCCUCACACACGCACUCGCGUGGGAACACACAAUCACACAUCCACACACACUCCCCCUGUGCACUCCCUCACACACACCACCCACACCCUCCUCACACACGCAAUCGUGUGGGAACACACUCUCACACAUCCACACACACCGCGUGCAUUCCCUCACACACACCACCCACACCCUCCUCACACACGCAAUCGUGUGGGAACACACUCUCACACAUCCACACACACCGCGUGCACUCCCUCACACACACCACCCACACCCUCCUCACACACGCAAUCGUGUGGGAACACACUCUCACACAUCCACACACACCGCGUGCAUUCCCUCACACACGCCACCCACACCCUCCUCACACACGCAAUCGUGUGGGAACACACUCUCACACAUCCACACACACCGCGUGCAUUCCCUCACACACACCACCCACACCCUCCUCACACACGCAAUCGUGUGGGAACACACUCUCACACAUCCACACACACCGCGUGCAUUCCCUCACACACGCCACCCACACCCUCCUCACACACGCACUCGCGUGGGAACACACUCACACAUCCACACACACCGCGUGCACUCCCUCACACACACCACGCCACACCCUCCUCACACACGCAAUCGUGUGGGAACACACUCUCACACAUCCACACACACCGCGUGCAUUCCCUCACACACACCACCCACACCCUCCUCACACACGCACUCGCGUGGGAACACACAAUCACACAUCCACACACACUCCCCCUGUGCACUCCCUCACACACACCACCCACACCCUCCUCACACACGCAAUCGUGUGGGAACACACUCUCACACAUCCACACACACCGCGUGCAUUCCCUCACACACACCACCCACACCCUCCUCACACACGCAAUCGUGUGGGAACACACUCUCACACAUCCACACACACCGCGUGCACUCCCUCACACACACCACCCACACCCUCCUCACACACGCAAUCGUGUGGGAACACACUCUCACACAUCCACACACACCGCGUGCAUUCCCUCACACACGCCACCCACACCCUCCUCACACACGCAAUCGUGUGGGAACACACUCUCACACAUCCACACACACCGCGUGCAUUCCCUCACACACACCACCCACACCCUCCUCACACACGCAAUCGUGUGGGAACACACUCUCACACAUCCACACACACCGCGUGCAUUCCCUCACACACGCCACCCACACCCUCCUCACACACGCACUCGCGUGGGAACACACUCUCACACAUCCACACACACCGCGUGCACUCCCUCACACACACCACGCCACACCCUCCUCACACACGCACUCCUGCUGUAACACACUCUCACACAUCCACACACACUCACCCCUGUGCACUCCCUCACACACACCACACCCUCCGCACACAUGCACUCGUGUGGGAACACACAAUCACACAUCCACACACAACCCUGUGCACUCCCUCACACACACCACACCCUCCUCACACACGCACUCCUGAGGUAACACACUCUCACACAUCCACACACACCGCGUGCAUUCCCUCACACACACCACCCACACCCUCCUCACACACGCACUCGCGUGGGAACACACUCUCACACAUCCACACACACUCACCCCUGUGCACUCCCUCACACACACCACACCUUCCUCAGACACGCACUCGCGUGGGAACACACACAUCCACACACACUCAUCCCUGUGCACUCCCUUUUACUCAUCCACACAUCUCACCACUCACUCACAUGUGA